UCUGAUUUCAGUGCCACUGUUUGGU
rnacentral:piRNA from 1 species